rnacentral:lncRNA from 1 species
UCCAAUGAUCAAAACUCAUUCUCAAUUAUAUUCUAAGUCUGUAAAAAGUUAGAGAAUCAUUUAGAAAGAGAGAUUGAGUGGAUAAAAGAGAAAAAUAUUCAGAUUGAGUGAGCUUCAUUGAAAACCAUUAGAAAAAGAAGAAAAGAGAGGAUUUAGUGCAUCAUUUUGAGAGCCUUCAAAGAGUGAUCUUCUCCAACAUCUUCUUUAUCAUCUCAAGAAAUCAUUGAAGAAGAAAUCAAGCAUCA